rnacentral:snoRNA from 1 species
AUGCCCACGGAUAGACCUUGACCCACUGCUGCUGUGCUUGUGGUUUGCACUAGGAUGCAAAGAAAAGGAAUCCCUGCACUUUGUCUGUCUUGUGGUGGCCUCUAUUGUAUUGAGGGUUACAUCU